UUUAAUGUUUCGUUGUGCUA
rnacentral:siRNA from 1 species